UACGUAGGUGGCGAGCGUUGUCCGGAUUUACUGGGCGUAAAGGGAGCGUAGGCGGACUUUUAAGUGAGAUGUGAAAUACACGGGCUCAACUUGAGUGCUGCAUUUCAAACUGGAAGUCUAGAGUGCAGGAGAGGAGAAUGGAAUUCCUAGUGUAGCGGUGAAAUGCGUAGAGAUUAGGAAGAACACCAGUGGCGAAGGCGAUUCUCUGGACUGUAACUGACGCUGAGGCUCGAAAGCGUGGGGAGCAAACAGG
rnacentral:rRNA from 1 species